rnacentral:snRNA from 1 species
AUACUUACCUAGCAGGGGAGAUACCAUGAUCACGAAGGUGGUUUUCCCAGGGCGAGGCUUAUCCAUUGCACUGUGGAUGGGUUGGCCUCUGCGAUUUCCCCAAAUGUGGGAAACUUGACUGCAUAAUUUGCGGGAGUGGGGGACUGCGCUCGGACUGUGCUCGCACUCUUUUU